AAGCCGGAAUUGCUAGUAAUGGCAGGUCAGCAUACUGCCGUGAAUACGUUCCCGGGCCUUGUACACACCGCCCGUCACACCAUGAGAGUUGGAAAUACCCGAAGCCUGUGAGCUAACUUAAGGGAGGCAGCAGUCGAAGGUAGAGCCAAUGAUUGGGGUAAAGUCGUAACAAGGUACC
rnacentral:rRNA from 1 species